AGACCUGGGGGGCCAGAGAGAAAAAGUAAGUGCUCUGGGAAAGAGGGCUCCUGCACCUUCAUAUCUCCUUGCCCAAUUAAGAACAGGCAGUGCCUCUCUGUCAGCCCAAGUCUCUCGUCCAACAGCCCAAAUCUACAUUUAUACACUGUUGAUGUUCAACAAGGGGCUCCUUGUACUAAGCUAGCAAGGCUGGCUAUUGAUUUGAAACCAAACUUUUAAUUUACUGUGUUAACACAGAAAAAUGUCAAUGCCAAAUCUCAGAGUUGGAGAAUUAGAAGAUAGUGACCCCAAGACAAAGAAAAACAGAUUCAUGUUAGUCCUCAAGAGACAUGUAAAUAAGAAAUAAUCUUUCUCCAAUCCAGACUGGCAAAGAUAAAAAAAAGUGUGUGUGUGUGUAUAUAUAUAUAUAUACAUAUAUAUAUAUAUUUAGACAUUAUCUAUGUCUGUAGACAUGUCUAUUGAUGUGUACUUCCUAGCUGUGUCCACUAAGCAACACCUUUGUAGCAAUAAGCUCACGCCAGCACCUAAGCCCCAGCUUCUAAAUCAAUGCUCCACUAAAGGGAAUGGGAGAAGCUGCCAUUGUAGCUCAGUGGUAGAGCGCCUGCCUAGCAUGUGUGAGGCACUGGGUUUGAUCCUCAGUAGCACAUAAAAAAUAAAGGUAUUGUGUUCAUCUACAACUGAAAAAAAAAAAAAAAUCUUUUUUUUUUUUUUUUUUUUAAUUUAAAGGGAAUGAGAACUCCCCAGAGAAAGAGUUAAUUCCAGGUUGGGGCAGGGAAGGUACAAGAAGAGAUCAGGAUGCUUGUGCUGGGAAGUUAGGGAAAUGCCCACAGCAUGGUGAGGAUAGGUGAAAAGCCAGCACGAGGGGCCCCACUGAUCAAAUCUGGGACAAUUUAAACAUUGAAAUAGUUAUAUUAAUGUAUUAUAACCCAUUGAAUAAAACAGGAAUCCAUGAGUCCAUACUGAAAAACAUAUAAAUGGGAUGGAGAAUGAGAGAAUUAAAAAACUGCUGUCACAUCCUCCGAGAAGAGGAACCUGGACUCCUAAGAGAAAUGGUUGAUUCUUAGGCUGGAGCUGGGAAGAUCAAGGAAUGAAGUCCUGAUGUUCCAGUGUGGAUGAACCUGGAGAUUAUGCUAAGUGAAAGAAACCAGUCACAAAAGACCUUCUGUUGUAGAGUCCAUUCAUGUGAAAUGUCCAGAAUAGGCAAUGCACAGGCAGGAAAUAGACUAGUGGAUGUCAGAGGCUGAGGGGAGGGGAAAUGGUAAGUGAUGAAGGCUGCACAACUCUGUAAAUAUACUAAAGACCAUGGAACUCGACACUUUGAGAGGGUGAUUUUUAUGGUGUGUGAAUACCUCAAAAAAGCUGAAUUUAAAAAAAAGGAUGAGAACAUGUCAAAAGGAUACAGGAUUCAGCAUGAAAGAGUUCCCAAUGACCAAAACUGGAACAAUUUUAAGCAAAAAAAAGUAGUAUUGGCUUAUAACCCAAAGUAUAAAAUAUACAUGAGUCCAUAGUGAUAUAAAUAAAUGAUUGAAUAAGUAAAUAAAUGGGGAAAAGAGACAAAUUCAGACUUAGCAACUGAUUUCCAUAGAACAAAGGGAAAAGUAACAACUUGCAAAGACAGCUGGCGAACACCACCUUUGGCAGCUUCACCAAGGGACAAGGGCUAACAUCACAGGGGGUGUCCUGUACCCCUGUUGUAACGUGCUGAAAAGGGUACUUUGCCUCUGGUAUUCAUUACAAAACCCCAGAACUUCAGUCUAAUAAUCAUAAAAACAGACAAAUUUAGACAGGGGACUUUCUACAGGGUACUUGGCCAGUGCCCCUGUCAAGAUCAUGAAAAACAAAGACAGAAACAAUCACUGACAGAGGGCCUGGGGAGUUGGAGGCCAGCCUGGGAAACUUGGUGAGACCCUGUCUCAAAAUGAAAAUAACAUAAAGGGCUGGGGAUGUAGCUCAGUAGACAGUGCCCCUGGGUUCAGGACCUCGUGCCAAAAGUAAUAAUGAUGACAAAGAUGUUGUUAUAGCUAAAGUAUAUGAUUAUUUCUUCAGGAAGAUCUGAUUUAAGUCCUGCCUCCAACAGUCUGAAGAUGAAGAAAAGGUGACUGAGACUGCCGAGGAUGUGCAUACCACACCUGAGCAGGGUCUCACCAGAUUGCCUAGACUGGCCUCAAACUUAUGAUCUUCCUGUCUCAGCCUCCCAAGUAUCUGUGAUUACAGAUAAGCAGUACUUGGUCCAAGACCUGAAGAGAGCUUGUUUGUCAUACAGAAAUGGCCACUUCCUGCCCACCCAAAUGCUAUUGAUUCCAACACCCAGAUCAAAUCAGGAGAUGACCUACCUCUCCUUCAAAAGCAAGCUGAGGGGUAAUCAGAGGAGAAAAGGGAGGCAGGGCAGAGGGUGUAUGGUACCUGAGUAGGUGUUGA